UUCUCCCUUGAGACCGGACAUCGGUCUCUUCCCUCUCUCCUUCUCUCCGAUUUUCCCGAAAUAGAGCCGCGGACACCACCUUGUCUUCGCCGUGACUGCUCUUCGACGAAGUCACCAGAGGUCAAGGUAAGCUUCCCUCCUUUUCCUCUCUUCCUUCCCCUUCUUUCCGUGCUCUUGUGCGCGGCUGCCGGCGACGAGAGUCAUCGAUUUUCGAUCGGGGAAAGAGACCUCUGUUUUGGUCUCUUUCCCGUGGAUUUU
rnacentral:lncRNA from 1 species